rnacentral:lncRNA from 10 species
AAAGAUGGGGCUUUACCAUGUUGGCCAGGCUGGUCUCGAACUCCUGACCUCAGGUGAUCCGCCCGCCUCUGUCUCCCAAAGUGCUGGGAUUACAGUCGUGAGCCACCGCACUCGGCCUUAAGGUUAAUUCUUGAAGUACAGAAAAACAGCAUUAUAGUUUUGAAAUUAGAAAAUUUCAGUUUUAUGUAUGAUCUCUUACCUAUGACUCUACUGAAAUAGAAUUUCUAUAUGUAGAGGCUGUUGGAAGCUGCUUGGGAGAAGUGGGUCCUAUAGAUUUCUCUACCAUAGCUAUACAACAUAGUAAAGAUGCAUCUUAUACCAAGGCCCUUAAGUUAUUUGAAGAUAAAGAACUUCAGUGGACCUUCAUAAUGCUGACCUACCUGAAUAACACACUGGUAGAAGAUUGUGUCAAAGUUCGAUCAGCAGCUGUUACCUGUUUGAAAAACAUUUUAGCCACAAAGACUGGACAUAGUUUCUGGGAGAUUUAUAAGAUGACAACAGAUCCAAUGCUGGCCUAUCUACAGCCUUUUAGAACAUCAAGAAAAAAGUUUUUAGAAGUACCCAGAUUUGACAAAGAAAACCCUUUUGAAGGCCUGGAUGAUAUAAAUCUGUGGAUUCCUCUAAGUGAAAAUCAUGACAUUUGGAUAAAGACACUGACUUGUGCUUUUUUGGACAGUGGAGGCACAAAAUGUGAAAUUCUUCAAUUAUUAAAGCCAAUGUGUGAA